CAGUAGCCACGGUAAUACGGAGGGUGCAAGCGUUAAUCGGAAUUACUGGGCGUAAAGCGCACGCAGGCGGUCUGACAAGUCAGAUGUGAAAUCCCCGGGCUUAACCUGGGAACUGCAUUUGAAACUGUCAGGCUGGAGUCUUGUAGAGGGGGGUAGAAUUCCAGGUGUAGCGGUGAAAUGCGUAGAGAUCUGGAGGAAUACCGGUGGCGAAGGCGGCCCCCUGGACAAAGACUGACGCUCAGGUGCGAAAGCGUGGGGAGCAAACAGGAUUAGAUACCCCUGUAGUCCCUGUCUCUUAUAA
rnacentral:rRNA from 1 species